UUGUAAUCGUUUUCCCUCAUCAGAUUGACCAAACAAUCAAUAUUCUCAACGUGGUCGUGGUGGUCGUGGUUCAGUCCGAGGACGAGAAGGACGUGGUGGUCGUGGCUCUUUUUCCAGAAAUUCGAACCACACUGGUUCGUCAAACUACACUUAUGGUUAGGCGUGCAGUUUCCCUAAUGAUGGUAGGUCGAGGUGUCAAAUUUGUAAUGGCACAAAUCAUCUUGCGCCCACGUAUUUUCAGCGCUACAAUCAUACCAUAAAUCCCUCAGUGCAUCUCACUCAUCAGGCGCCUAUUCUGUUUACUCAAAAUUGGUUCCCCGACACCCAUGCCACUCACCAUGUUGCCCCUGACUUAUCCAGCUUUCAUCACGUAGAGGAAUAUAAAGGUCCGGAUCAACUCUAUGUCAAAGAAUGGACAAGGCCUGUCAAUUCAUAAUACUGGAUCGGGACUCCAGGAUUCCGCUUCUUCAGGUCCGAGUAGCAGUGGUCUCUACACCAUGCCAGUAAAGUCUUCUGCACCUUUUCAUCCUUCAGCUCUCUUGGCCACAAAGCUUUCCUCCUCUCGUUGGUAUCUUUGGCUUGGACAUCCCCAUCAAUAAGUGCUUAGUAAAGUGUUAUCUAGUUAUAGGCUUUCUGCUUCUAGUUCUAAAUUAGAUACUUUAUAUAGCGCUUGUCAACUUGGCAAGUCACACAAAUUGUCUCUUCCUCUUCGUAUUAAUAAAAGCACUUCUUUAUUGCAA